GCCUCCCGCUCCUCCGGCCCGAGCCCAGUCCUCCUCCUGGGCGCCGUUGGCUGGACUCCGGCGGGACAGGGAAAGAAGCCCACCCCGGGGUGGCCUGACACGCUGGAGACCUGGAGAAGAAAGCAGUUCAAGUCCAGAGGCAGUCUGCAUGCAGAAUUCCUUCGUCAUCAGAGGUCA